UACGGGGGGGGCAAGCGUUGUCCGGAAUCAUUGGGCGUAAAGAGCGUGUAGGCGGCUUGUUAAGUCUUGCGUGAAAUCUCGGGGCUCAACCCCGAGCGGUCGUGAGAAACUGGCAGGCUAGAGUGCGGGAGAGGAGAGUGGAAUUCCUGGUGUAGCGGUGAAAUGCGCAGAUAUCAGGAAGAACACCCGUGGCGAAGGCGGCUCUCUGGAACGCAACUGACGCUGAGACGCGAAAGCGUGGGGAGCAAACAGG
rnacentral:rRNA from 1 species